UGUUUGAUUUUUAUGUUUUACAGUCUUCUGUCUUUUGUAUAAUGUUUUAUAUUUAUGUUUUCUGUUUCAUGUAAAUAGUUUAGCGUUACUUGUAUUUAUUUAUAAAAAUGUACAUUUAUGAAUAAAGCAGUAUACCAGUAAAUGAGAAGUUUCGAACAGAGAGUUAUUUUAUUAUUUCAAUUAGUAAAUGAAGUUAUUUAUAUCUAAUUACUAAUAUGAUUAGUAAUUUCAUCUAAAUAAUUUCUUAGAUAACUGCAAACGUUUGUGAAACAUCAUUGUUAAUAAUACCAACACUCAUAAACCAUACUUUGUCAUCUACUCAUAGCCUAGAACUUGUACAUGUCCAUCAAUACAGCUUUUAUCAAUGACUUACAUGCACAUUAAGAAAUUAAACUGCAGAAAAAUAUACCCCUAGCCACAAAAAAUCGAAGGGGUCAAAGUGUCAAAUGAAAAAAAAGUAGGGGUCAAGGUGUCACUGAAAAUAGGGGUCAAAGUGUCACUAAGGGGUCAAGGUGUCAUCUUUGGUAAAAAAAUUUAAGGGGUCAAACUGUCAAGGGGUCAAACCGUCUGACAUUCGGCGAGAUUUGCUCUAUAUGCCUUUCCAGUUGCCAAUCUAUUUAUUUUUAUAGCUCUUUGGUUCAAGCGAGCGAAAUGGUUGCAAACUUACAAAAUGGCGGAUAUUUUCUGAAAUUAUCGCGUGUUCGCUUGUUUUUUUUAUCAGAUCUUUUCAGGUCUAGAUGCUAUGAACAUCAGACGCUAUUAUGACCCGAGAGCAUGAACAUGAAUCUUCAUUAGUUGAACAAACUACGCUAACACGUAUAUCAGAAAUAACCGUUAGAGACCACGAGUUAAACCGAAGGAAAGGAAGCGUACCAAAGUAUGGAACAUUAAGAAAAUUGAAUGAUAUAUGAAGAGGUGUCCGACCACUUAAUUCACAUUACAGAGUUGACGAGUCCACUAAGACUAUAUUUUGAGCGAACUCACAAAUUAAAAUACAGCGCAACAGUUACGCUGUAUACAGUGGAUUGAAUUUGAUAAACUAUAACAAGAAAAUGUUCGGCUGCAAUUAAAUCCGUCUUUUCUGAAAAUGAACAAACAUAAUUAUGAUGUUUUCUGUUGAUUGCCACCACAAAUUUAAAGGCCAACUCUACUGUUUUCAAUUUUGCCUUAAUAAAGUUGCUUGUGUCCAAGAUUACAUCUUUUUGGAUACCGUGCAACUUGGAUUUUGCCUUUUCCGAAGUUGUUUGUGGUACUUCUUCUUUCUGUUUAAAACCAUUCAAUUUCCCAAUCAGAAACUUUAAAUGACAAAAUUAAGCACGUGAUAAAAUGAUGGGAACUACAUUCAUGUUUCAGCAGAUGUUACACUGUAACAUAAUUUUAUCUCAGUUUUACUCUCAUUGUACAUCGUCCAUGUGUUUUAGUGGAUUGCGCAGGUGGAUAAACAACUACUAUAACUUCUUAUGAGUUCAAAACAUUUUACAUCAUAAUCAUAUCUUAAGACUUGGAUAUAUUUUUGUACAUUUAAUCUAGAAAUGAAACAUAACGUAUGCAUUUAUGUCAUUAUGUUAUUACAUCACAGUUGUAUAUAAAUGUGUUGUGUUUUUCUUCUAUCAAAACUACAUGUACUAAUAUUCUACGAAAAACAGUUUUUAUGAACAAAUCACGUUUCCUUGUAGUUUGUUGUUUCAUGUGACGACAACUGCGUUGAAGCACAGACCGUGAACAGGAUUUCUUUUCGCAAAUACCACAUUCCAGAGGAGAAUUCCCAUCGCUGUCUCAGUCUUGCGUUUUUGCCUGAAAAAUAAAUUGAACAAGGAAAUACAAUACUGUAGAUUUCAGAUCGAUUGAAAUUAAAACAUAAGUUUGCUAUAUAUCAGCUCGAUUAUAAUAUUUCUUUCAUGUAAAAUAUCUUCAAAAAAUUUUCUGUCAAUUACAAAUACAGGUCAAUGGGAACUUAGAAUUGGGACUAAGAAUUGCGACGAGAACUUGUCAGAUUACCCGGUUUGCAUUAAGUAAUUUCUUGGGCAAGAUACAUACAAGGCUAGUGCACACCAUAGAAAAACAUCGACCAUAUUAUUUCACUAAUCUUCCAAAAAUCACAAAAAGCUAAAAAUAAGUCUCUGUUUUGUGCCCAAACGUCGUUAUACAUGAUUAGAAAUAGAAUUAUGAAAUUUCGCGCUAUCUGCUGCAACUUUGAGGAAAUUUAUGAUUUGCCUCUUCAACCAGUUGUACAAUAAACAUUCUCUGAGAGUUGGACACUAUUUUUUUCAGAAAAAGUUUGCAACACAAAUUGCUUGAAGUACAAGUUUGCAACAAAAAUUAGCUUGACCAAGAUUUAUUUGGGUAUAGCACUAUCCCGAAAACAUGCAGAGCCAAACAUUUAUAGAAUUCUUCACAAUUAGUUGUUUUGUUUCGUUUAAGGGCCCCAAAACAGGCUAGUUUGAUCAUUAGAAUGUUAAAAACGGUAAGAAACGAGGCAAUUCAAAUUUCAAAACAUGGACAUGACCAUUUUAUAACUUCAAUAACUUCGAGAAUUCGAAAUCUACAACGCUGAAACGCAAAACCGAGUGUGACGUAGACAUAGAACUGAUGCAUGCACAUAUCCAUAGAGUUCAAAAUACCAUAGAAACCCACUUACCUGAUAAAAAAAAACAAGCGAACACGCGAUGAUUUCAGAAAAUAUCCGCCAUUUUGUAAGUUUGCAACCAUUUCGCCCGCUUGAACCAAGUGUGCAAGCACUUCACGUCCUGCCCCUUGAAAGCAAAAAGAUUUGUAUUGGAAUUAUGGUGUAAACACCAAUGUAGCCAGUGUUGAUUUGAAUCCGGAGACCGUUCCAACACUGACUACAUGUGAUGGUAAUGUGUUCCACUGAAUAACUGUUCUUGGGAAAAUGAUUUUUUUAUAAUAAUCAGCUAUAGUACAUGCUAUCUGAAAUGCCUGAUGAUUGUAUUGUCUGGACUGUCUUUUGUAAGGUGUAAGGAAUUGCUUAUGUAGCAAAGUCAAGUUUCACUUUACUUAAAUUGAUGAAAUAAUUCACUCAUUAUAUUUCUAUGUAUAUGUCGUAUAUCAGUACUCCGUAGUCCGUUGUAUCAUGUCUGUACUCUAGCUAUGUUCCAUUGUAUUGAGUUGGGUUAGGGUUAGGGUUAUCAUGUCCAGUCAUGUGUCCACCCAUGCAUAUGAACUUGUUUUGUAAGAUAGGAGAAGUUUUCAUUGGUCAGUUAUGCUUUUGCACAAAUAACAACUUUUAGGCGCGGACUAACAUUUGCACGGCCCUCUGUACAUCAUUCUGGAGAAUCAUUUGCUAGUGAACACAAGUUCUUUGGUAAAACGUCCGUACCUUUGGGCACCUUACUAUUUUUGUAUUUAAGUGUACCUUUGAUAGACGUAUCUGGUAAGCUAUUUUAUUUAGCAUUUAUUCUUUUAAAAUUUAGUAAUAACCGCGAGAGAUGUAUUUUGUGAAAUCUGUAUUUUCACGUUUGCUGUUGGUGUAUUGUAAUUCGUGUCAUUUCAUGUUCCUGAUUUUACUGUUUUGUUUUUAGAUUUUCUUUGUGUACUAUACUGGUACUGUCCAACGAAUAAAUAGAAGA